AGCGAACGCUGGCGGCAGGCCUAACACAUGCGAGUCGAACGAAGUCUUCGGACUUAGUGGCGGACGGGUGAGUAACACGUGGGAACGUGCCUUUAGGUUCGGAAUAACUCAGGGAAACUUGUGCUAAUGCCGAAUGUGCCCUUCGGGGGAAAGAUUUAUCGCCUUUAGAGCGGCCCGCGUCUGAUUAGCUGGUUGGUGAGGUAAUGGCUCACCAAGGCUACGAUCAGUAGCUGGUCUGAGAGGAUGACCAGCCACAUUGGGACUGAGACACGGCCCAAACUCCUACGGGAGGCAGCAGUGGGGAAUCUUGCGCAAUGGGCGAAAGCCUGACGCAGCCAUGCCGCGUGGAUGAUGAAGGUCUUAGGAUUGUAAAAUCCUUUCACCGGUGAAGAUAAUGACUGUAGCCGGAGAAGAAGCCCCGGCUAACUUCGUGCCAGCAGCCGCAGUAAUAC
rnacentral:rRNA from 1 species